rnacentral:lncRNA from 1 species
GCUGCAGUAAGGAGAACACAGGGAACUGUGUAGAAGAGACUGAAAGAGAAUCGUACUUAUGAAAGACCUCUAGACCAGGAAUGAUUCGAACAAAUACUGAACAAGUUUUUCCUCCGAGUCCUCAGCAAACAGUAGGCAGCAGGCGGAAGGUGCUGAGACCGCAAAGCUGGUAACUUGGCUCCCUAGUCCAAUUGUAAGUGACAGGUGACCAUUUUGACCCCUUUCUCUUUAGAGCCACCUAGAACAUGGAUGCAAGCUGGAACUUUGACGUUGUCUUGGGGAUAAAAGUUAAACAAAGAAGUGGACUCUUCAGUCCUGAUGCGUAAGUCACUGAGAGGAUGAGCUCGUUCCCUCUCCUGAAAGACAUCUACCUGUUACAGCAGCCAGCUUUUCCAGCUCCCUGAACGUUCUGCUGCCUCCUUGCCCAGAACAGCACCAGUCCUGCAGGAGGAUUAUCCAGAGUGCUCCCUCCAUCGGAGCAAGUCCUCACCUCCAGGAGCCUUGCGGCGGGCGUAUCCCACACACUUGAUCAACGGCCCUUCAUCUUCCUGCUGCAUCUGGCAUGGCUUGUUCCUGCAGACAGUUCUCCUGUGGCCCCUCCUGAAGCUCUUCUCACACCAGGAUUGAGAAUAAAGCAGUUGUUGCCAUCUGUGAUUGGCUCGCUUUACUCUAUGCCGGAGUCUGAAGUGUGGUUUUGUUUUUCUUUUCCUUUGGUUUUGUUGUUGUUUGUUUGCUUGGAAGUUUUUGAGACAGGGUCUCAGACUGGUCUCACACUUACAGCCAUUGUACUUUCUACAACUUCCAAGGGCUUGGAUUUAGAAUUGCUCAUCACCUAGACUGGUUUAAGUGUGUUUUGAAACAAAGAUUGGGCACUCUUAGCUGGUAGUGUAGCUCAACUUCACAAGUGUGCAUGAAACCUGUACGCCAUAAACUGGACUAACGUUGUACUUCUAAUCCCAAUACUGGGAGGUAGAAGCAGGAAUAUCAGAAGUUCACGGUCAUCCUUGGCUACGGAUGGAAUUUAAAAGUAGCCUGGAUACGUGGCAUUUUGUCUCAAAAAGGAAUUAAAUCUUAUUCCCUCAUUUCUGUUUCCAGACUCAUUCUGCUAUGCUUUGGGGACCUUCUCCUCUGAGUCCAAUGUCAAUCCAUUUGUUUACAGACCUUUCCCGCCCGGAAGCUCCCAUCUCUGAGCUGCUUUGUUGUCUGGGGUUGGUGUGUGUGUGUGUGUGGGAGGGUGUUGUUUAGAUCUUUGCAAGCUGUCUUUCCCAUCAUGAAACCUCUGCACAGUUGGACCCAUGAGGCUCGUCAGGACUUAUGGCAGUGAGGCACUAUUGAUGCCCUGGAGACAGGAGCCACAACGCUGUUAAAUGUGGCCUCUGUGGCAAGAAUUGAUUUUUUAAAAUUUU